rnacentral:rRNA from 1 species
UUAGUAGGUGGCCAACUAAGUCAAACGUGAAAUCCCUCAGCUUAACUGGGGAACUGCGUCUGAUACUGGUUGGCUUGAGUGCAGGAGAGGAAUGCGGAAUUCCAGGUGUAGCGGUGAAAUGCGUAGAUAUCUGGAGGAACACCGGUGGCGAAGGCGGCAUUCUGGACUGCAACUGACACUGAAUAACGAAAGCCAGGGGAGCAAGCG